AUUUAUUUCAUUCGCACCUGUAUCUUGCUCAACCGUUACUUAUAUAAAAUCCGGUUGAGCAAAAUUUCAGGUGUGUGAGAAAUUCAUCUAAGA
rnacentral:pre_miRNA from 1 species